rnacentral:rRNA from 1 species
UUUCCGGUUGAUCCUGCCGGACCCUACUGCUAUCGGGGUGGGACUAAAACAUGCGAGUCGAACGACUUCAAGCCAUGAUGGAGUCGUGGCGCACGGCUCAGUAACACGUGGCUAACCUACCCUUGAGACGGAGACAACCCCGGGAAACCGGGGACAAUCCCAGAUAGAUGAGAACCCCUGGAAUGGGUCCUCGUUCAAAAGGCACCGGGAUCAUGCUUCUUGGUGUCGCUCAAGGAUGGGGCCGCGGCCGAUCAGGCUGUUGGUGAGGUAACGGCUCACCAAACCUAUAACCGGUACGGGCCGUGGGAGCGGGAGCCCGGAGAUGGGAACUGAGACAAGGUCCCAGGCCCUACGGGGCGCAGCAGUUGCGAAAACUCCGCAAUGCACGAAAGUGUGACGGGGCUACCCCGAGUGCUGUCCGCUGAGGAUGGCUUUUCCCUGGUGUAAGGAGCCGGGGGAAUAAGGAGAGGGCAAGUCUGGUGUCAGCCGCCGCGGUAAUACCAGCUCUCCGAGUGGUAGGGAUGUUUAUUGGGCUUGAAGCGUCCGUAGCUGGCUUUUCAAGUCUCUCGUUAA